UGGGUCCCGCGGGACCGGCAAGUGAUGGUGAGAACGGUAACGCUCAUGAGUACAGAAUAAAAGUACUGCUUAGCUUUAAUUUUUCUUUUUAUCGGUUCCUUCGUCCGGUAGAGAAGAAACUCGAGAAGAGGGACGGCCGUUCAGGAAUCUCGUCGACGGCUUUAGGCAGCUCUUGACGGAACCCUAGAUCCGGGAACCGGAAACCCCCAACACUGAUGCGGAUUCCUCCGCAAGCAAUGCUACUUUUCCUCCCAUCAUAGGUUGGUGCUCUUUCUUAUGUUGCUGAGACAUGGUGAUAAAAUCCACAGUACUGGACUAUUGUCCUCAUCCGACUACCUUUGGAAGUGUUAAAAUUUUGAAUUCGAUUGAUAUUGGUUGGAUAUUUUCUCUCUUCUUAUUUUGUUAACUUUACUAUGAGACACAAUAAUGCUGCUCAUGAGAUUCCUAAGUGGAAAGUCAAACAAACCCUUUUAUUUUUUACCUAAAAACUUGUUACUGAAGCACCAAUGGACUUGUUUGUUCAACGAUUUUUACCGGUUGCCAUGUACCAGUGUACCAUGGUAUUGUCUGUUUCAUAUGCUAUGUUGAGCGUGUUAACACAAACUUGGCAAUGUCUUUGGCUUGUACGUCAAUGGAUACAUGCCAACCAAUAUACCUGCAGAACACUGAUGCACAAAGUAAGAUCCUUGUUGAGCGAUAAUACUUGUCAAAACUUCUUUAAAUGUAUUGUGCUCUAAGAGCUCGCUAAAUUUCUUGUGUUGUAAAAUUCAUGUUAAUGGAGGGCUUAUAAAAGUUAUUUUAGGUUGCAUUCCUAUCCUAACUAA